GACGAACGCUGGCGGCGUGCUUAACACAUGCAAGUCGAGCGGUAAGGCCCUUUCGGGGGUACACGAGCGGCGAACGGGUGAGUAACACGUGGGUGACCUGCCCUUAGCUCUGGGAUAAGCCUGGGAAACUGGGUCUAAUACCGGAUAUGACUCCAUGACGCAUGUUGUGGGGUGGAAAGCCUUGUGCGGCUAGGGAUGGGCCCGCGGCCUAUCAGCUUGUUGGUGGGGUGAUGGCCACCAAGGCGACGACGGGUAGCCGGCCUGAGAGGGCGACCGGCCACACUGGGACUGAGAUACGGCCCAGACUCCUACGGGAGGCAGCAGUGGGGAAUCUUGCGCAAUGGCGAAAGCCUGACGCAGCGACGCCGCGUGAGGGAUGAC
rnacentral:rRNA from 1 species